CUUCCGUAUCGGACAGAAGAACAGCUAAAGCCAGACGGAUUUGUCACUUUUGAAGACUUCUACAAAACUGGCCUUGUCAUCAUUGCUGAUGGCCAGCUAUGUUCAGUGAAGUCAGUUGUGGACUCGAAUCGCUGCAAUUAUGAAAUAGAUGCCGAUGACUUAGAUGAGGUUUUUGAUUCUGUGAAUUUUGAUGGUCCUGUAGAAGAUGCGUGGGGGCAGUUGUUCCCACAGCAAGAGAUUGAACGACUGGAGUCAAUCCAGGAAAGGGCAGAGCAGAUACAGGUAGACAAUGACCCAGUGGAACAUAUUCCUGAUCUGGCUGGGGGUGUAGAGCAGGCUAAGGUAACUAAGUGCAACAAUUUAACUAGAAGUGAAAGAUUGGCAUUGUGCAGGUCUUUGAAUGAUGACCAGAUGCGUGUCUUAAACAAGGUCCAUCAGUGGUGUGUUGUUAAAGCAGCAGGUAAAAACCCAGACCCCUUUCAUGUGUUUGUAACAGGUGGUGCUGGCGUUGGAAAAUCGCAUUUAAUCAGAGCGAUUCAAUACGAGGCCA